AGGGUUCGAUUCUGGCUCAGGAUGAACGCUGGCGGCGUGCUUAACACAUGCAAGUCGAACGGGAUCCAUCAAGCUUGCUUGGUGGUGAGAGUGGCGAACGGGUGAGUAAUGCGUGACCGACCUGCCCCAUGCUCCGGAAUAGCUCCUGGAAACGGGUGGUAAUGCCGGAUGUUCCACAUGAUCGCAUGUGAUUGUGGGAAAGAUUCUAUCGGCGUGGGAUGGGGUCGCGUCCUAUCAGCUUGUUGGUGAGGUAACGGCUCACCAAGGCUUCGACGGGUAGCCGGCCUGAGAGGGCGACCGGCCACAUUGGGACUGAGAUACGGCCCAGACUCCUACGGGAGGCAGCAGUGGGGAAUAUUGCACAAUGGGCGCAAGCCUGAUGCAGCGACGCCGCGUGAGGGAUGGAGGCCUUCGGGUUGUAAACCUCUUUUGUUUGGGAGCAAGCCUUCGGGUGAGUGUACCUUUCGAAUAAGCGCCGGCUAACUACGUGCCAGCAGCCGCGGUAAUACGUAGGGCGCAAGCGUUAUCCGGAUUUAUUGGGCGUAAAGGGCUCGUAGGCGGCUCGUCGCGUCCGGUGUGAAAGUCCAUCGCUUAACGGUGGAUCUGCGCCGGGUACGGGCGGGCUGGAGUGCGGUAGGGGAGACUGGAAUUCCCGGUGUAACGGUGGAAUGUGUAGAUAUCGGGAAGAACACCGAUGGCGAAGGCAGGUCUCUGGGCCGUCACUGACGCUGAGGAGCGAAAGCGUGGGGAGCGAACAGGAUUAGAUACCCUGGUAGUCCACGCCGUAAACG
rnacentral:rRNA from 1 species